AGAACGAACGCUGGCGGCAGGCUUAACACAUGCAAGUCGAGCGGGCGUAGCAAUACGUCAGCGGCAGACGGGUGAGUAACGCGUGGGAACGUACCUUUUGGUUCGGAACAACACAGGGAAACUUGUGCUAAUACCGGAUAAGCCCUUACGGGGAAAGAUUUAUCGCCAAAAGAUCGGCCCGCGUCUGAUUAGCUAGUUGGUGAGGUAACGGCUCACCAAGGCGACGAUCAGUAGCUGGUCUGAGAGGAUGAUCAGCCACAUUGGGACUGAGACACGGCCCAAACUCCUACGGGAGGCAGCAGUGGGGAAUAUUGGACAAUGGGCGCAAGCCUGAUCCAGCCAUGCCGCGUGAGUGAUGAAGGCCCUAGGGUUGUAAAGCUCUUUUGUGCGGGAAGAUAAUGACGGUACCGCAAGAAUAAGCCCGGCUAACUUCGUGCCAGCAGCCGC
rnacentral:rRNA from 1 species